rnacentral:tRNA from 1 species
UGUAAAAUAAUAUAAGACUAGUAUAAUUCAUUUACACUGAAUGUGUCAGACAAUGUCUGUUUUACUU